UAGAGUUUGAUCCUGGCUCAGGAUGAACGCUGGCGGUAUGCUUAACACAUGCAAGUCGAACGCAACCCUUCGGGGUUGAGUGGCGGACGGGUGAGUAACGCGUGAGAAUCUGGCCUCAGGUUCGGGACAACCACUGGAAACGGUGGCUAAUACCGGAUGUGCCGAAAGGUAAAAGAUAAAUUGCCUGAGGAUGAGCUCGCGUCUGAUUAGCUAGUUGGUGGGGUAAGAGCCUACCAAGGCGUCGAUCAGUAACUGGUCUGAGAGGAUGAUCAGUCACACUGGGACUGAGACUCGGCCCAGACUCCUACGGGAGGCAGCAGUGGGGAAUUUUCCGCAAUGGGCGAAAGCCUGACGGAGCAAUACCGCGUGAGGGAGGAAGGCUCUUGGGUCGUAAACCUCUUUUCUCAGGGAAGAACACAAUGACGGUACCUGAGGAAUCAGCAUCGGCUAACUCCGUGCCAGCAGCCGCGGUAAUACGGAGGAUGCAAGCGUUAUCCGGAAUGAUUGGGCGUAAAGCGUCCGCAGGUGGCAAUUCGAGUCUGCUGUCAAAGACUGGGGCUUAACCCUGGAAAGGCGGUGGAAACUGAAUAGCUAGAGUUGGGUAGGAGCAGAGGGAAUUCCUGGUGUAGCGGUGAAAUGCGUAGAGAUCAGGAAGAACACCGGUGGCGAAAGCGCUCUGCUGGGCCGCAACUGACACUCAUGGAAGAAAGCUAGGGGAGCGAAUGGGAUUAGAUACCCCAGUAGUCCUAGCCGUAAACGAUGGAUACAGCUCCGUAAAACUUACCCCA
rnacentral:rRNA from 1 species